GAUGAACGCUGACAGAAUGCUUAACACAUGCAAGUCUACUUGAACUUCGGUUUGGGUGGCGGACGGGUGAGUAACGCGUAAAGAACUUGCCUCACAGUUAGGGACAACAUUUGGUAACGAAUGCUAAUACCUGAUAUUAUGAUUUUAGGGCAUCCUAGGAUUAUGAAAGCUAUAUGUGCUGUGAGAGAGCUUUGCGUCCCAUUAGCUAGUUGGAGAGGUAACGGCUCACCAAGGCGAUGAUGGGUAGCCGGCCUGAGAGGGUGAACGGCCACAAGGGGACUGAGACACGGCCCUUACUCCUACGGGAGGCGGCAGUGGGGAAUAUUGGACAAGGGACCAAAAGUGUGGUAGAGCAAUUCUGUGUGGAAGAUGACGUUUUUCGGAAUGAAAAGUGCUUGCAGUUGGGAAGAAAAAAAUGACGGUACCAACAGAAGAAGUGACGGCUAAAUACGUG
rnacentral:rRNA from 1 species